UUACUACUAGGUUGGUGCAAAAGUAAUUAUGGUUUUUGCCACUGAAGGUAACGAUAAAAACCGCAAUGACUUUAGCGCCAACCU
rnacentral:miRNA from 1 species